GCUAUCCAGAUGGCGACCGGCGCACGGGUGAGUAACGCGUAUCCAACUUCCCCAUAGUAGGGCACAGCCCGGCGAAAGUCGGAUUAAUUCCCUAUGUUGUCCAGAGAGGACAUCUGACCUGGACGAAAGAUUCAUCGCUAUGGGAUGGGGAUGCGUCUGAUUAGGUUGCAGGCGGGGUAACGGCCCACCUGGCCGACGAUCAGUAGGGGUCUGAGAGGAAGGUCCCCCACAUUGGAACUGAGACACGGUCCAAACUCCUACGGGAGGCAGCAGUGAGGAAUAUUGGUCAAUGGACGGAAGUCUGAACCAGCCAAGUAGCGUGCAGGAAUGACGGCCCUAUGGGUUGUAAACUGCUUUUAUCAGGGGAUAAAGUGAGGUAUGUAUACCUUUUUGCAUGUACCUGAUGAAUAAGGACCGGCUAAUUCCGUGCCAGCAGCGGC
rnacentral:rRNA from 1 species